CAAGCGGUGAGCAUGUGGUUUAAUUCGACGCAACGCGAAGAACCUUACCAGGGCUUGACAUCCCCUGACCGUCUAUGAAAGUAGGCUUUCUACCUUCGGGUAGACAGGGAGACAGGUGGUGCAUGGUUGUCGUCAGCUCGUGUCGUGAGAUGUUGGGUUAAGUCCCGCAACGAGCGCAACCCUUACGGUUAGUUGCCAGCGGGUUAUGCCGGGCACUCUAGCUGAACUGCCGUUGACAAAACGGAGGAAGGUGGGGAUGACGUCAAAUCCUCAUGGCCUUUAUGACCAGGGCUACACACGUACUACAAUGGCCGGUACAAAGGGCAGCGACACAGCGAUGUGAAGCGAAUCCCGAAAAGCCGGUCUCAGUCCGGAUUGGAGUCUGCAACUCGACUCCAUGAAGUUGGAAUCGCUAGUAAUCGCGGAUCAGCACGCCGCGGUGAAUACGUUCCCGGGCCUU
rnacentral:rRNA from 1 species